rnacentral:piRNA from 1 species
UGUAAGGUUUCAUUCUUGAAGGAAAGCAGC